rnacentral:misc_RNA from 1 species
GAACGCACAUUGCGCCCGCCAGUAUUCUGGCGGGCAUGCCUGUCCGAGCGUCAUUUCAACCCUCGAACCCCUCCGGGGGUCCGGCGUUGGGGACUUCGGGAACCCCUAAGACGGGAUCCCGGCCCCGAAAUACAGUGGCGGUCUCGCCGCAGCCUCUCAUGCGCAGUAGUUUGCACAACUCGCACCGGGAGCGCGGCGCGUCCACGUCCGUAAAACACCCAACUUCUGAAAUGUUGACCUCGGAUCAGGUAGGAAUACCCGCUGAACUUAAG